rnacentral:rRNA from 1 species
CGGGGUGCACCAGGCGCGAAAACUUUACAAUGCUGGAAACAGCGAUAAGGGGACCUCGAGUGCCAGGUUACAAAUCUGGCUGUCGUGAUGCCUAAAAAGCAUUGCAUAGCAAGGGCCGGGCAAGACCGGUGCCAGCCGCCGCGGUAACACCGGCGGCUCGAGUGGUAACCGUUAUUAUUGGGUCUAAAGGGUCUGUAGCCGGCCGGAUAAGUCUCUUGGGAAAUCCAGCAGCUCAACUGUUGGGCUUUCAGGAGAUACUGUCUGGCUCGAGGCCGGGAGAGGUGAGAGGUACUUCAGGGGUAGGGGUGAAAUCUUGUAAUCCUUGAAGGACCACCAGUGGCGAAGGCGUCUCACCAGAACGGACCUGACGGCAAGGGACGAAAGCUAGGGGCACGAACCGGAUUAGAUACCCGGGUAGUCCUAGCCGUAAACGAUACUCGCUAGGUGUCGGCCACGGUGCGACCGUUGUCGGUGCCGUAGGGAAGCCGUGAAGCGAGCCACCUGGGAAGUACGGCCGCAAGGCUGAAACUUAAAGGAAUUGGCGGGGGAGCACAAGGGCGAAUGCG